GUGGUGUUACUUACGAUUUAGGAACAUGUAUGCAUUCCUGCUUUGGGGAUUUUACAACUUCCUUUUGGAAUUCCAUAGAAAUAUUUCGCUCCAUCUUUUCUUCUGCUGUCUUCUUUCCUCUGUUUGCUGCUUAUCACAGGCUUUUGAAAGUGGAAGCCGCUCAAGAUGGGGAAAAAAGAAAACUGUUUCGACUAUAAGAGUAUUAAGCUUGCUGUUGCAAGAUUGGGUCUUCCAGUCUCUCCAAAGGGGGUUAAAAAUGCAAGAGGAUUCAAGUGCAAAAAGGACUCAGAGGAGCCAAUAAUUGCAGAAGAGGAGCAGCAAACUCAGAAAUGACGAGGGAUGUUUGUGUCGGGGUUGUACAGGCAGAAUGAGGAGAAUUUUACGAAGUCAAGGAACCUGAUUGAUCUUUAAAUUUUGAGUCUAGCUGCUUAUCACAGGCUUUUGAAAGUGGAAGUCGCUCAAGGUGGGGGAAAAGGAAAACUGCUUUGACUAUAAGAUCUGCUAACAAGAGAGGGUCUUGAAGGUGGUGAGUAUUGAGCUAGCUGUAGGCAUGGAAGUGAGAAGCAUAGCCAGAAAUUUUUUGGUUGAUGUGUCCAAAGCUGGACUUAUAGAUGAAAAUGCUUCUACCUGCAAGAAAAUCCAACCUAAGGCACGAGUAACAGUGGUGAUUGAUGUCACAUGGAAGACAUUGAUCACUGAUAAAAUAGAUAUGGAAGACUUGGAUCGGUGUUGCACAAGUCAAAUAUGGCCAAUAAUAGGUUUUUCUACCAACUCGUGUUAUGAACGUGAGGGGAAGAACUGCAGCUGUUCUCAUUUCUGAAAAUACUUUUGGGAAUUUGGAUUCUGUUCAUUGAUCGGCUUACUCCACCGGGAGAUGGACCGAAUGGUUUGAUUUGGUAUCUUCGAUAUCCAAUUUAGUGAAAUCACUACCAAUGGGGUUGAUGUGUUCAUAUGUAGCAGUUUGACUAGGUUCCCAGUCUAUGGAACUUUUCAACACAACAUUUGUGAAAUGAUCACUCGAUCAGUUGGAAGACAAAUGUGGUGAUUUAAUUCAAGUAUGGGCGUGUUUAGAUGAGAAAGACAUGCCCAAGAACAAUAGAGACAUUUGCAAUUUUUCCUCAUUGUGCUAAAUCAUAUUAUUUCAGCUGAAUUAAUGGAAUUUUAGAGCCUAUAUUUGA